GGGGUUGUAGCUCAGUGGUAGAGCACUUACCUUGCGUAUGUGAGGCACUGGAUUUGAUCCUCAGCCCCA
rnacentral:tRNA from 1 species